CCUACGGGAGGCAGCAGUGAAGAAUAUUGGUCAAUGGACGAAAGUCUGAACCAGCCAAGUAGCGUGAAGGAUGGCUGCCCUAUGGGUUGUAAACUUCUUUUAUAUGGGAGUAAAUUGAUACACGUGUGGGACAUUGUAUAUACCAUAUUAACAAGGAUCGGCUAACUCCGUUCCAGCAGCCGCGGUAAUACGGAUGAUGCGAGCGUUGUCCGGAUUUAUUGGGUUUAAAGGGCGCGUAGGUGGUUUGUUAAGUCAGUUGUGAAAGGUUGCGGCGCAACUGUAAAACUGCAGUUGAAACUGGCAGGCUAGAGUACAGGAGAGGGGGGCGGAAUUCGCGGUGUAGCAGUGAAAUGCUUAGAUAUCACGAAGAACACCGAUGGCGAAGGCAGGUUACUGGACUGCAACUGACACUGAGGCUCGAAGGUGUGGGUAGCAAACAGGAUUAGAUACCCGAGUAGUC
rnacentral:rRNA from 1 species